rnacentral:rRNA from 1 species
CAACUUUUAACGGUGGAUCUCUUGGCUCGUGCAUCGAUGAAGAACGUAGCCAGUUGCGAUAAGUAGUGUGAAUUGCAGAAUUCAGUGAAUCAUCGAAUCUUUGAACGCAAAUUGCGCUCUCUGGAUAUCCAGGGAGCAUGCCUGUCUGAGCGUCUGU